AGGAAAGGUCUCGGGAGUUGGGCUGUAGCGCAGCGGGUUAAGCGCAGGUGGCGCAAAGCACAAGGACCGGAGUAAGGAUCCCGGUUCAAACCCCGACUCCCCACCUGCAGGGGAGUCGCUUCACAGGCGGUGAAGCAGGUCUGCAGGUGUCUAUCUUUCUCUCCCUCUCUCUGUCUUCCCCCUCCUCUCUCCAUUUCGCUCUGUCCUAUCCAACAACAACAAUAAUAACUACAACAAACAACAAGGGCAACAAAAGGGAAUAAAUAAAUAAAUAAUAAAUUUAAAAAAAAAAAAGGAAAGAGGACCACAGGGGAGACCUUGGAAGAAAGGACAUGCAAAUGUAGCCACAGGUCUAAUGUGGAAGAGGUUGAAUAAGGAGAAUUUUUCUUGUAGGUAUUCUUGUAAGCUAGAAAAAGAUGGUCUUGAAUAAAAGGCUUUCUGUGUGACUGAAUGU